rnacentral:rRNA from 1 species
UACAGAGGGCUCAAGCGUUGUUCGGAUUCAUUGGGCGUAAGGGGUGCGUAGGUGGCAUGGUAAGUCGGAUGUGAAAUCCCGGGGCUCAACCCCGGAACUGCAUUCGAUACUGCUGCGCUAGAGUACUGGAGAGGAGAUUGGAAUUUACGGUGUAGCAGUGAAAUGCGUAGAUAUCGUAAGGAAGACCAGUGGCGAAGGCGGAUCUCUGGACAGUUACUGACACUGAGGCACGAAGGCCAGGGGAGCAAACGGG